rnacentral:rRNA from 1 species
CGUUGAGCUAACGUGUACUAAUGGCCCGUGAGGCUUGACCAUA